rnacentral:rRNA from 1 species
UACAGAGGGUGCAAGCGUUAAUCGGAAUUACUGGGCGUAAAGGGCGCGUAGGCGGCCUGUUAAGUCGAACGUGAAAUCCCCGGGCUCAACCCGGGAACUGCGUCCGAUACUGGCAGGCUUGAAUUCGGGAGAGGGAUGCGGAAUUCCAGGUGUAGCGGUGAAAUGCGUAGAUAUCUGGAGGAACACCGGUGGCGAAGGCGGCAUCCUGGACCGAGAUUGACGCUGAGGCGCGAAAGCCAGGGGAGCAAACGGG